rnacentral:rRNA from 1 species
UAAGAGAGUCAGAGGACGUGAACCGGUAGGAGGGAAACGGAUAGAGCCACGAACAAGCCCGUAUUCAGCUAGUCGGCCGGCGCCCCCGGGGCCCGCCGCUAAGGGAUUUGCGGGUGAAGGGGGCUGAAGCGUGGGGGGGGGGCCUGGGAAAUGGCCGGCAGAAGGCUCGUCCUUACGGAGUUGGAACAACCAAGCCGGGGGUAGUAUGGUCGCUCCUGCACAUAUAUUUGGUUACGGGGAUUCUUGCUGUUGUGUCCUCUCGAUACUUGCUGGGUCGGCGGCCUGGGACUAGUACUUGUUGGUGGGUGUCGACGGCGCGCCGGCGCCCUGGUCGCCCCUCGGUGUAAAAAUUGGUCAUCUCUCCUACCCCCCUUGAAAAACGGACCAAGGAGGAUUC